rnacentral:rRNA from 1 species
UACGGGGGGAGCAAGCGUUGUUCGGAUUUACUGGGCGUAAAGGGCGCGUAGGCGGCCACCGCAAGUCGACUGUGAAAUCUCCGGGCUUAACCCGGAAAGGUCAGCCGAUACUGCAGGGCUAGAGUGCAGAAGGGGCAACUGGAAUUCUCGGUGUAGCGGUGAAAUGCGUAGAUAUCGAGAGGAACACCUGCGGCGAAGGCGGGUUGCUGGGCUGACACUGACGCUGACAGCGCGAAAGCUAGGGGAGCGAACGGG